GGUGAGUAACACGUGAGCAACCUGCCCCUGACUUCGGGAUAACCUCGGGAAAUCGUGGCUAAUACCGGAUAUGACGUCCUGCCGCAGGGUGGGGUGUGGAAAGACUGUGUCGGUUGGGGAUGGGCUCGCGGCCUAUCAGCUUGUUGGUGGGGUGAUGGCCUACCAAGGCGACGACGGGUAGCCGGCCUGAGAGGGUGACCGGCCACACUGGGACUGAGACACGGCCCAGACUCCUACGGGAGGCAGCAGUGGGGAAUAUUGCACAAUGGGCGCAAGCCUGAUGCAGCGACGCCGCGUGAGGGAUGACGGCCUUCGGGUUGUAAACCUCUUUCAGCAGGGGAGAAGGCCUUCGGGUUGACGGUACCUGCAGAAGAAGCGCCGGCUAACUACGUGCCAGCAGCCGCGGUAAUACGUAGGGCGCAAGCGUUGUCCGGAAUUAUUGGGCGUAAAGAGCUCGUAGGCGGUUUGUCGCGUCUGCUGUGAAAACGCGAGGCUCAACCUCGCGCCUGCAGUGGGUACGGGCAGACUAGAGUGCGGUAGGGGAGACUGGAAUUCCUGGUGUAGCGGUGGAAUGCGCAGAUAUCAAGAGGAACACCGGUGGCGAAGGCGGGUCUCUGGGCCGUUACUGACGCUGAGGAGCGAAAGCAUGGGGAGCGAACAGGAUUAGAUACCCUGGUAGUCCAUGCCGUAAACGUUGGGCACUAGGUGUGGGACCCAUUCCACGGGUUCCGUGCCGCAGCUAACGCAUUAAGUGCC
rnacentral:rRNA from 1 species